AGAACGAACGCUGGCGGCAUGCCUAAUACAUGCAAGUCGAACGAACACUUCGGUGUUAGUGGCGCACGGGUGCGUAACGCGUGGGAAUCUGCCCUUGGGUUCGGAAUAACAGUUGGAAACGACUGCUAAUACCGGAUGAUAUCGAAAGAUCAAAGAUUUAUCGCCCAGGGAUGAGCCCGCGUAGGAUUAGCUAGUUGGUGAGGUAAAGGCUCACCAAGGCGACGAUCCUUAGCUGGUCUGAGAGGAUGAUCAGCCACACUGGGACUGAGACACGGCCCAGACUCCUACGGGAGGCAGCAGUAGGGAAUAUUGGACAAUGGGCGCAAGGCCUGAUCCGAGCAAUGCCGCGUGAGUGAUGAAGGCCGUUUAGGGUUGUAAAGCUUACGUUUUACCCGAG
rnacentral:rRNA from 1 species